rnacentral:rRNA from 1 species
GUGGGUGAAGCUCACUUUGUAGCAAUACACUGGCCAGUAAGGUGCUGCAUGGCUGUCGUCCGCUCGUGCCGUGAGGUGUUGGGUUAAGUCCCGCAACGAGCGCAACCCCCAUCACUAGUUGCCAUCAGGUAACGCUGGGAACUCUAGUGAAACUGCCGUCGUAAGACGUGAGGAAGGAGGGGAUGAUGUCAAGUCAUCAUGGCCUUUAUGCCCAGGGCUACACACGUGCUACAAUGGAGAGGACAAAGGGCUGCAACACAGCGAUGUGAAGCUAAUCCCAAAAACCUCUUCUCAGUUCAGAUUGGAGUCUGCAACUCGACUCCAUGAAGCUGGAAUCGCUAGUAAUCGUAUAUCAGCAAUGAUACGGUGAAUACGUUCCCGGACCUUGCACACACCGCCCGUCAAGCCAUGGAAGCUGGGUGUACCUAAAGUCGGUAACCGCAAGGA